GUAUUUGAUUAGUAAAAUAAAUGACCACAACACAAAAAGAAUAUUUAAAACAAACCAACACUAAGAAAUAACUCAUCUUUUGGGGGAUCUAAUUAAGUUAAUUAAAAUAAAUUAUAGUUAGAAUUAAAUAAAAUUAGUCAAGCAUAAGCAAAUCAAUUGAAAGAGUAAAAGAUAUUAGGAAACUGGGCCCCUUUUGGGCCAAUUUUGCUGCAAAUUCUGGAGAUUUUACUCAAUCCCGUUUUUGGUAUACAUCAGUUGUAUAUCGAUGUAUAUUGAUGUAUACGGCCCUUUUUCUGCGUUUCGGGACCUGUACGUCAACUCCAAAGACUUGUUCUUCAAUUUCUCAAGGUUGAAUGACUCGAUAAAAGAAUUUUGGGCCUUUAUGGCCCAUCCGAAAUAUGAAGUGGAGAAAGAUGGAGUCCAAGGGAACUCGGAUGGUAUCACAUGGAAACAAAGUAAAGAAAUAAAUUAGCAGGAGCAAGAAGAAUAUGGCAUUCAGGCUAUUAACAACAAUUUAUUGUUCUGGUAAAUGAAAGAUGCAAGCUGGAAUUUACGCUCUACAGUAGCGACACAUAAUGAAUUAGUUGGAUUAUUUAAAAUCACUAAGGCAAGGCAUAAAAGUAAAUACUCAAUGAGCAAGCUAAGAGUAAAACAAAUAUUUAUCUUCCACUUUAAAAGUAGACUCGCCUAAACUUGAACAUUACUCACAUUUAAGUCGAUAAAUAUUAAAUGUAUUUGCUUAUGGGGACAAGAAUUAAUUACCGAAGGGAAUUGGAAAGGACGAAAACAAUAAUGUCAUAAAAGAAAUAAAAUAGGAAAACUUAGGCCCUUAAUCACAAAUAUUCAGCUGUAUCUACAUUUAAGCUACGUCUUCACUAGACGAAGGGAGAAAUUAAUUACACUAAGAAAACAAGCUACAUUAAGCAUGUGAUUUCCUAAUGAACAAAGAAAAGGAAAAAAUCUCAAUUUUAACAUGGAAGAUAACACUCAUAAGGAAACUUUAAUAGGCUAAAUAAUAAUAGAGAAAUAUAGAUACUCAAUUUAUUAAGCAACCUUCAAACCACACGGCUAAUUGAAACUAAACCCAUAUAAUUACUAUCACAAAAAUUCGAUCAUACUAAUGAACAAAUAUUAUUGCAUCAUUUCUCAAUAUUAUAGAUAAGCUACUAUCAAAAAAUUUCACCACUAAUUAAGUGAAAACAUUCCAAGUGACAUCCAAUAAAUGCACAGUAAUGAGAAAUUGUUCUAUGGACCAAAGGAAAAGUGGAUAUAGUAAUACAACUAAGUAGAUGUUUUCGAGUUAAAAGGGUAGGAAAAUGCAUUAGAAAGGUUACAUGUAAGAUGCUCAUCAAGACCCAUUUUUAGGACAAAGCAUAGUUCAACUCCUCAACUCAAUUUAUGAACACACAUAUAAUCAGGGAACUUGAUAAGAAAAAUUAAAAGAAGUAAAACCCUGCCACAUAAGUUCAUUAAAUAAUGCUCCUGAUUUUUAAUUUAAGACUCACC
rnacentral:lncRNA from 1 species